AGCUGGAGCUGGGGGGCUGGGACCAGCGCGGUGCAUUCUGAGCUCCUCCACUGUGAAAUGUGCAUUGAAAAUACGCCCGGAUCGAUCAGAAGCCAGAGGUCAGGCCCCAGGAACAUACCUGCUAUACGGAAGGCUCCAUGCCAGAAACCAGGAAGGCGGCCACGAGCAAGCCCAGGACCGGACCCUGCCCCGGGCAGGGGCAAUGGAAUGUCCGACUGGCCAUCCAGCCAGCUCCUUCUCAGCCUUGGAAAUUCCCAGGACCUCUGCACUUCAUGAGCGUUUAUCGGGCCCUUCUUACACGCCAGGCACGGUGUCACGGCUGAGAAGUACAAAGACGCAAAAGGUACAGGUCGUGGUCUCACGGUUUGUGAGUUCGAGCCCCGCGUCAGC